rnacentral:rRNA from 1 species
CCUACGGGUGGCAGCAGUGGGGAAUAUUGCGCAAUGGGCGAAAGCCUGACGCAGCGACGCCGCGUGAGGGAUGAAGGUCUUCGGAUCGUAAACCUCUGUCAGCAGGGAAGAACGGUCACUGUGCUAAUCAGCAGUGAAUUGACGGUACCUGCAAAGGAAGCACCGGCUAACUCCGUGCCAGCAGCCGCGGUAAUACGGAGGGUGCGGGAGUUAGUCGGAAUUACUGGGCGGAAAGCGCUCGUAGGCGGUAUGUCAAGUCAAGGGGGAAAUCCCCGGGCUCAACGUGGGGACUGCCUUUGAAACUGGCAAACUGGAGUGUGUGAGAGGAUAGUGGAAUUCCAGGGGUAGGAGUGAAAUCCGUAGAUAUCUGGAGGAACAUCAGUGGCGAAGGCGACUAUCUGGCACAUAACUGACGCUGAGGAGCGAAAGCGUGGGUAGCAAACAGGAUUAGAUACCCUAGUAGUC